GACGAACGCUGGCGGCGUGCCUAAUACAUGCAAGUCGAGCGGACUUACAAAGCUUGCUUUUUAAGUUAGCGGCGGACGGGUGAGUAACACGUGGGCAACCUGCCUGUAAGACUGGGAUAACUUCGGGAAACCGUAGCUAAUACCGGAUAAUCCUUUUCUACUCAUGUAGAAAAGCUGAAAGACGGUUUACGCUGUCACUUACAGAUGGGCCCGCGGCGCAUUAGCUAGUUGGUGAGGUAACGGCUCACCAAGGCGACGAUGCGUAGCCGACCUGAGAGGGGGAUCGGCGACACUGGGACUGAGACACGGCCCAGACUCCUACGGGAGGCAGCAGUAGGGAAUCUUCCGCAAUGGACGAAAGUCUGACGGAGCAACGCCGCGUGAGUGAUGAAGGUGUUCGGAUCGUAAAACUCUGUUGUUAGGGAAGAACAAGUACGAGAGUAACUGCUCGUACCUUGACGGUACCUAACCAGAAAGCCACGGCUAACUACGUG
rnacentral:rRNA from 1 species